AUCCUGCUGAUGAGUCCCAAAUAGGACAAAACGCUCGUCCUGCAU
rnacentral:hammerhead_ribozyme from 1 species